UUUCCGUAGGUGAACCUGCGGAAGGAUCAUUCAUAAUAAGUGUUUUAUGGCACUUUUUUAAAUCCAUAUCCACCUUGUGUGCAAUGCCAGGGUUGAUUUUUCUCUCGAGAGGAUCAACCCCAAACAUCAACUAUAUCUCAACUCUUUGUCUGAAAAAUAUUAUGAAUAAAACAAUUCAAAAUACAACUUUCAACAACGGAUCUCUUGGCUCUC
rnacentral:misc_RNA from 1 species